rnacentral:tRNA from 1 species
AGGCCCUGGGGUGUCACACGUGAGAUUGCAAAUCUCAAGAAGCAGGCGAAAGCCUGCCGGGGCUUC